GGUCACAGGGUCACUGUAGGAGGCCAAGAGCCCUUCAGAAGUACAUUAGAAAAAGCUGCUCCCAAGGGAGCCGGGCUCCGGAGGAAUGUGUUUGUUGUGACAGACAAAGGCUAUGUGGGAGCCAAGGAUGCAUACUUCAACGGUUCACCCCAAGAGUGGGCGAAGAAACAGGACGAGAGACCGUGUGAGCUCUGGGCUCGGCACUGGGAAAUCUUCAGGAAAAGGUGAAAGAGUUACACGAUCUGAAGACAAACCAGGCCAUAACCCUCCUCACUCUACGUGUGGUCUAAGUCCUGCGGGUCGGGGCAAGUGGCGCCCAACGUGGGGCUCGAGGCACGGGUGAACGCCGGACAAGCAGCAAAUCAUCCCGCCGGGACGCCGGGGGACCACCUUCAUCGGCCACCUGACUCAUCACUUGUGGGAUCGGCUGCCGCGGUACGAUAAUGAUUCCUCUGCCCUUCCUGAUAUUCCUGAUGUUCCUGCACAUGGCACUGACGACUUCCAACCAUCAGCUGUUUAACUAUACUUGGUCCAUAAUAAAUGGAGCCGGAGAUACAGUUAACUCCACAAGUUAUGUGGGGUUAGACCCAAAUUGGCCAGACCUUUAUGUUGAUCUUUGCCAGCUAGCCCUUGGAGGGGACCCAGAUUGGGGCACCCCGGAUCUCUUUUGGCCUCAGCAACAGGCCCCUGAGUUAACUGAUUCCCUUACAGAGGGCGGAUGUAGUAAUUCUCUCCGUAGGGCUACCUUAGCACUCUCCUCCUAUGGCUUCUAUAUUUGCCCUGGGGAUCACAGGAAGAGAGAAACAGCCCGCUCCUAUGGUUAUCAGUCAGAUUUCUUUUGUGCCAGAUGGGGCUGUGAAACAGCUGGGGAUACUUAUUGGAAGCCCUCCUCUAGCUGGGAUUACAUAACACUCCAUCGUACACAUCCCAGAAAACAGGUCUACUCAAACACAGACCCCAAACCCUUAAAUACCCUCUGUGCUUCAGAGUCACAACGAAAGGGUUGGUGUAACCCCUUAAAAAUCUCCUUCACUGCCAAAGGAAAAGAGGCUUCCUGGAUCACCGCCCUUCAAGGCUAUGAAUGGGGUCUUAGAUGGUAUAAGGAGGGGAAAGAUUUUGGGUUAACUUUUAAAAUAAAGUUAACUAAAACCUUACCCAAUCCCCAAGGUGUGCCCCAGGCUGUCACUGUCAAAUAAAUAAAGAAAAUAAAAAAAAACAGAUCUUACUGCAGGACUCGCCACCUUCAAUGUACAAAUGAA